UGGGGGAUAUUGCACAAUGGGCGAAAGCCUGAUGCAGCGACGCCGCGUGGGGGAUGAAGGCCUUCGGGUUGUAAACUUCUUUUGCUCUGAACAAGGCAUGCCUUUGGGGUGUGUUGAGUGUAGGGGUUGAUUAGCGCCGGCUAACUACGUGCCAGCAGCCGCGGUAAUACGUAGGGCGCGAGCGUUGUCCGGAAUUAUUGGGCGUAAAGGGCUUGUAGGUGGCUGGUUGCGUCGGUCGUGAAAGCUCAUGGCUUAACUGUGGGUUUGCGGUGGGUACGGGCUGGCUUGAGUGCAGUAGGGGGGGCUGGAAUUCCUGGUGUAGCGGUGGAAUGCGAAGAUAUCAGGAGGAAUACCGGUGGCGAAGGCGGGUCUCUGGGCUGUUACUGACGCUGAGGAGCGAAAGCGUGGGGAGCGAACAGG
rnacentral:rRNA from 1 species